CUGACACUAACUUCCUUGCCUUUUCCCAUGGCAAGAGCAAGUCAUGGACUCUGAACUACUUCCUCUCCCUUUUUUCUAUUUAUUUUAUUUUAUUUUAUAUUUGUGAUGGAGUCUCGCUCUGUCACCCAGGCUGGAGUGUGGUGGUGUGAUCUUGGCUCACUGCAACCUCUGCCUCCCAGGCUGGUCUCUUAACUCCUUACCUCAAAUGAUCCACCCACCUCGGCCUCCCAAAGUGCUGGGAUUAUAGAUGUGAGCCACUGCACCCAGCCCUUCCUCUCCCUUUCUCUUUGGGGUUCCCUUCACAAACAGGUGAGGCAGCUUUUUCAAGGGCAUUCCAAGCACAAAAGACCUUGUUGUACCUAAAUACUAUAAGGGACCUGUCAUUGAGGACGAACCAUCACAGCAAGAGGAAUUAUCUCGUGCCGCAUCUUCGCAUAACUGACAGGAUCCCUGGCAAGGAUGUCUCAAUGCAGAAAGUUGGCUAAGUGAACUGCAGUAUCUACCCUGGACCUAAAAGAACUUGCUAAUGUUUUCAAGACUACAAUUCAGAGGCUGUCUGAUUUAAUCUUUGCAUUUACAAAAACACCCUUUUACGUACAUUAAAUGUGGAAUAAAACUAAA
rnacentral:lncRNA from 1 species